rfam:Caenorhabditis japonica strain DF5081 Contig10048.1, whole genome shotgun sequence.
CCAACGGCCCUCUUUAGGGCCACAUUUAUCAAAAAAUCCACUUAAU